rnacentral:tRNA from 1 species
GCUCGGGCGCCGCCGCGAACGGUUCCGGCUCCGGCUCGGGCUCGGGUUCCGGCUCGGGUUCGGGUUCGGGUUCCGGCUCGGGUUCC